UACGAAGGGGGCUAGCGUUGUUCGGAAUCACUGGGCGUAAAGCGCACGUAGGCGGAUUCCUAAGUCGGUGGUGAAAUCCUGGAGCUCAACUCCAGAACUGCCUCCGAUACUGAGAGUCUCCGAGUCCGGGAGAGGUGAGUGGAACUGCGAGUGUAGAGGUGAAAUUCGUAGAUAUUCGCAAGAACACCAGUGGCGAAGGCGGCUCACUGGCCCGGUACUGACGCUGAGGUGCGAAAGCGUGGGGAGCAAACAGG
rnacentral:rRNA from 1 species